rnacentral:rRNA from 1 species
AACGAACGCUGGCGGCAUGCCUUACACAUGCAAGUCGAACGGCAGCACGGGGGCAAUCCUGGUGGCGAGUGGCGAACGGGUGAGUAAAGCAUCGGAACGUGCCCUGGAGUGGGGGAUAACGUAGCGAAAGUUACGCUAAUACCGCAUAUUCUGUGAGCAGGAAAGCAGGGGAUCGCAAGACCUUGCGCUCUGGGAGCGGCCGAUGUCGGAUUAGCUAGUUGGUGGGUAAAGGCCUACCAAGGCGACGAUCCGUAGCGGGUCUGAGAGGAUGAUCCGCCACACUGGGACUGAGACACGGCCCAGACUCCUACGGGAGGCAGCAGUGGGGAAUUUUGGACAAUGGGCGAAAGCCUGAUCCAGCCAUGCCGCGUGAGUGAAGAAGGCCUC